rnacentral:rRNA from 1 species
CUGAGGUACGAAAGUGUGGGGAGCAAACAGGAUUAGAUACCCUGGUAGUCCACGCCCUAAACGAUGUCUACUAGUUGUCGGGUUUUAAUUAACUUGGUAACGCAGCUAACGCGUGAAGUAGACCGCCUGGGGAGUACGGUCGCAAGGCUAAAACUCAAAGGAAUUGACGGGGCCCCGCACAAGCGGCGGAGCAUGCGGAUUAAUUCGA